GUGAUUAGCCUUUGCUUAUGCAAAGAGGAAUCUACAAAGGUAUAAAUUUUCAACUCACUUUGUUUUGAGUUGAGUUCUUGGUUCACCAAUCUACUAGGCUUUGAAUUUCAUGGGUAAUGUUUUGUUUUUAAGUGCAUGCAAGCAUGAUUCCGCCUUUAAUUGUUAAUUGCAUGCUUAUAGAUGUUAUUCAAAUGAACAUGUUUUCACAAAAUCAUCCUUCAAGUGGUAUCAGAGCCUAGGUCUAGUAGUUGGUGAAUCCUUUUGGGUUUUGUAGUUCAUAGUUUUUGAUUUAAAAGUUGUAAUAUGUUACAAGCUUUAUUCUUGUUUCUUUGAAUGUAAAUUUUGUUAGAAAAUUUGCCAUCUCAAAUGUUGUAGAUGUAGUUCAUAUGAGCAUGAAUAUUGGAGCUAAAAUUUGGUGCCAUGCUUUUUGGGAAAUUUUCGGCCAAAAUCCAAAGGGUGGAUUUUUGGGUUCUUGUUUGACUUGUUAAAAGUGUUUUCAAGUGACUUUUGGAACCCCUAUGUACCCUAGUUUGGUUAUAUGUUAUUUCCCUAAAGUUUGAAUGGUUUUGGAAUGUUUUUGGGUGAAAAAUGUUCAUGGAAAUUUUUUGAGUUUUUCAUGAAUGUUCUUCAUUGUUCUUGACAUUUUUGCCAAGAACAAAAAAGUUUUGUGUUUUGAUUCAAAGUUUUGAUUUAUUUCAUAAAGUUUAUGUUUUAUGUUUUUUCAAAUGUUUAAUUGCAUUAGAUAUUUGUUUAAAUGGUGUAAGAGAUAUUGGUGGGUAUGUAAGGAUUAAUUUCCUUUCACACACACCACUUGCAUCACUUGCAUGCUUUAUGUCAAAACUCACAAAUCAACACACACAUCACUCUAAUCCUUCUCCAAAACCGGCCACUGUACAUGUAGGGUACUUUUGGGGCUUUUAUGCAAUUACAUAAAGUUUUUGAUACUUUUUGUGUAUUUGCACUUUGACCCAAAAGUUUACGUUUUUACGUUUAGGUCCAAAAACGCUAAAGGACAAAUUGUUUUGCUCCUUUAAUGAAGUUUUUGCAUUAUUAAAAUUUUGGGUUCUAGUUGUAAUUACAUGAAGUAGUGGACUUUUUGUGUUUUACAAAGUGACCCCAAAAGUUUUUGUUUUUGCAAUAUAGCCCAAAAGUUGAGGUUAAUUGCAAGAUAGCCCAAAUGUUGAGGUUAAUUGCUUUAUGGCCCAAAUAAUUUGUGGUUAUUGCAUAUUGGCCCAAAUUAAAUAGAGAACAAAAUUGUUUUGUCUCUUUAAAUGAGAAUUGGAUUUUCAUUUUGUUUAGCUCCAUUUAAAUCAAUUUUAUGGAUACAAAAACCAAAUGAAAAUGUUGCAUUCUAUUUAAUUAGUUAAAGUGUUAAUUAAUUAAAGGGUGAUUAUGAACCUAAGCCUAAUAUAAUUGAGCUAUGUGAAAGGCCGUUUCAAAUUUGUUUGAACCAUGGGAAUGUGUAGAUUAGAUUUUGGUUGUAAUUUGAUUUGAUCAAAUGUUGUAAAAGGGCAUAAGCUCUUCUUUACUUUAAAGUAAUUUGUUUUAUGCAAAUGUUGUAAUGAGCAUAAGCUUUACUUUGAAGUACUUCUUUCUUGCUUUAUUUGAUAUGCAUGAAAAUGAAGUAGUUGGGUCCAACGCCCCUAAGACAACACGCCUUAAUGUGAUUAAACGCGUAACUAAAAUCAAUCACCAUCCCUAGACCGAGAUUCAACACAAGGCUCGUGUUGAAUCUAAACAAAGGUUCAUAGUCAUCCUAAGGCCCUAAGGCAACUAUAUAGUCCAUCAAAUGAAUGCAAAGGUUAUGUUAGUAGUAUCAUAUACUCUUGCUUUAAAAACCGUUUUAUAAGCAUAGUGGGAGUAUUAUAUACAACUAAAAACAAUCAAAUGGACCAAUAGUUGUAAUAGGACCAAAAUUGUUUUAAUAGAGAUUAAAAUGUAUGUUUAUAUGUGAUGAGACCUAAAACCCUCAACCAAACCAUUAUUAAGUUGAUAAGCGUGAGAGUGCUUUGAACACUCUUUCGUGGCCUUCCACCGUGGUAGGCUCCAAUCGUUUAUGACUUGUACACCGGCCUUCACCCUAUCAUGGGGGAGUACAAAGUGCAUGCUUAUACUCAGGAGGAGUCCUAUAUACAUACUUGAUGAGGUGAGUGUAGGCAACGAGGAUGGCCAACAUCGUAUCAUUCGUGAGGCUAUUCUUGAACCCCUUCACGAACUAAGCAUGGUGGGAAUGACUUAACUAAGUGCAAUGGAGCCAACAUCAUAUCAUUGUGAGGUGACAUUCUCUAGAGGCCAAAUAAGAUGGGUACUUGCAUUAGUUGCAAAUGAGUAAGCGUACUCUCUCAUUAUUAUUAAUGCUAGCCAACAUCAUAUCAUUGUGAGGUGGGCUUGGUAAUAGUGAGCCUCCCAUACCCUACUAAGAGUUUCAUCCAAAACUCUCGAAUUCCAAUGAGGGAUAUGGAAUUUGCCAAAAAUAGUGGGUGGUGCUAUUUUGAUUUAAAGACCCGAAUCAAAUGGCUUAAAAUCAAUCAAUUUAUAUUCGUUAUGUAUUUGUUUACCAAUAUAUUUGCAAACGCUAUCCAAACACUUGACAAAUAAAAGCCGAAUGCUUUAGUUUCCGGACUUGGUACUACAACAAUCCCAAAGAUUGUCUUAAAUGGAUUGUAAUAUGUACCUAAGUAGUCUCAUCCUCACAAUCUUCCUAUUGAUAAUGUAUCAUUAGAAGAAUAUGUUAGAAUAGGUCUAUCAUAAAGAGGACAACACUUUUAAUGUCAUAAUUCUUCAAUUACAAAUUGUUGUAUGAAGAAAUAAGAGUUGCUUUGAACAACCCUUAAGUCAAUGCAAAACAUUAGUGCUUGUUUCUUUGUUAACAUGAACAAGGAACUUGAGAAGAAAGCACAAAGGCAUGGACACUUUAUGUGCCAUGAUUCUUCACUUACAAAUUGUUGUAUGAAGAAAUGAGAGUUGCCUUGUACAACUCUUGAAAGUUUGUAAUUAUGUUUAGAACAUAAUGGUUGGUUGACAAAAAUAGUCCAUUCAACAUGGACUUAUGAUGAUUUUGAAUCAUUGAGUGUUGAAGUGAUAAACCACUUAACGAGACGGAAACUAGGCAAGGACUUCACCUUUGUGUCCCUAUCCUAAUGGUUCACUAAGUUUAUUGUAAACUAUAUAGUGAACAAUAACCACAUGCUCUCCAAAAUGUUUGAUGUGUAUAACACAAUUGAAAUAAGUUUCAAAGAGAGAUAGUGGGAGUUUAGGGACCAUGACUAUUGUAGUCAAAGGAGAAGUCAAAUGAAGAAGAUAAAAUUAACUCCAAGGGAACAAACUUUCUUUAUGAAAGGAUGGACAUUGGAAGGGGUAUUUGCAAGAAAUGUCUUGCAAGUGUCAAGAACACACCUUUCGAAGGUGUUGUAAAUUGUUCUUGAAUAGUUCAAAACAGUUGGUUCUUCUACUUGAAUGCUUGAUUCCGUAUUAGUAACAAUGUUUUACAAUCGUUGUAAAAGUGUGACUAAUAAGAAGUAGAAGAUAUAUGAGAGAAGAAAAGGUACUUCACAUUCGGAACGUGAAUAAAAUGUAAAGAUCUCUGCGAAAGCAGAUAGUACUUACUUCCUCAUAUGAACUACCAAAGAAAUUGGAAAAACCAAAGAUUGUCUUUACAUUCCAAUUUUAAGGAACUUAAUUCCGUCACUAUAGUAGAAAUGGAUGAAUGUUUUGUUUGACAAAACAUUAUUCUUUAUUAAUCAAUGAUUGGAUUAUAGUAAUCUAAUCGAUUGUCUCUAUAGUAGAGAUGAUAUGGUAGUGUUAACUGUUUAGAAUAAUAAUGAUGCUUAAAACCCAAAAGGUUGCAAGGUAGUGACUAAUCCCAACUAAGUUGUGAUUCCCCUAAAAACAUAAGUUAUGAGUUGGUCAUAGAUGGAUGCUAUGGAUCGUUAGAUCCGGAUCCAAUACCUUCUUGUUAAAAUUGUAUAGAGGCGAAAUGUUCGAAUCUUUAUUCUUUUGGAAAGAAGAAAGAAUCACAAAGUUGUUGAGGUUAAUUCACUUAGAUGUUAGUGGCACUUGUCCACAAACAUAAUACUACUCAUGUUAUAUGACAUUCACCGAAGAUCACUCUCGGUUGGACUAUAGUUUAUUUUGAAUAAACACAAGUCCGAAUACUUUGCAAAAGGUUUCAAAGAAUUCAAGAAAUGUAAGUUGAUGAGUAAGACGUCUAAAGUAUUUACCUCCUUAGAUUUGAUCCAAGGAAAGGUAACACUUUAGAUGAGUUUCCUUGAAAGAUAUCAAGGAAAGAAGCAUCAUAAGAUAAUAAAUUUCUCCAUUAAGGAGAAGAACGAACUCGAAUAAGAUUUAGUUCGUUAGAUGUUAUCUAUUACCCAUAUAUAGGAUAUAUACUUCUAAAAACAAUAUGAUUGUCAAUUAGAAGAUCUUCCAAAAUUUUUCAUGACUCCAUAAGAUGUAGUUGGAAAGAAAGACAAAUCUUAAGCAUGUUAAGAUUUGGGGUUGUGUGCUAAUAAGCAAUAUUUGUUUGAUAACAAUCUUGUGGGAUAUCCUUAAAUUAACUUUUGGAUAUCGCUUCUAUAAACCAACUAACAAAUGUUGUUUUGUUGGGUAGUUCAUUGUAAUCCUACAAUGUGAUUUGCCUAAAAGCAAAUGAACGAGAGAUAGAACUCAAAGAAUGGGUUCUUUGAGAGACAAGAAAGUAAUCAACAAAUAUAAACAACCUAGUUCCUAUACCAAAAGCUCCAAGGUAGUCGAGAAGGAUUUAUAAACCGUCUCAGUUGAAUGGUUUGAACUUUAUGACUAUGUCAUAGAGUUGCACCUCUUAAUUCGAAAGAAAUAAGAAUGAAAAUCCUUAUGACUACAUUGAGUGUAUAUAUAUGAUAUAUACUCAAGGAAAUGGUAAAGUACCAUUUGACCCGAAAUAAUGAAACCUUCAUAAGCUAAUUGGUAGCUUAAGGUGACUACAAUCAAAGAGAAUGGUUGACUUUGAAGAAACCAUUUUGACGUAGUCUUGGUUUCAAUUAAUUCGAAGAUUGCUAGCUACAACUAAAUGGUGAUUCAAUGUUUGGACAUAAUAUGGGUUUCCGAAACCAUUAUUAAGAUAGUCUUGAUAAUAUAUGUCUAAAACUAUGAAUCACAAGACAUGUAAGUUGUAGAGAUCCAUCCAUCAUGGAAUCUUAGCAAGCUAGUGGGAGCUAUAAGCAUCUUAUGAGAAAAAGGAUCAAAUCGUUUGAUUUCUCAUAAAGAUGUAAAUGAAUCUUUUGUUUACUAGGUUUACAAAAGAUUAGUGGGAGUUAAUCAUGUUCCUAAAAAUUUAAAUAUAUAUGAUAUAUUAAUUUUGGAAAUGAAAAGAAUACUUCUUCGUUAAAGUUAUGACUUUAAACAUUAUAUGAAGAUAGAAUGUAUAUGGGAGAUAUAGUCUAUAUACAUGGGAUGGAAAUCUAUAAUGAUAUAUUUCAUGAUAUAAUUGGAUUAUAUCAAUCCCUAAUAAUAGACAAUGGAUGCUAGGAAGUUUCUCAUAUGAUGAUAAACUUCAAUUAGAAGGACAACUCUAGUGAGACUAAGAAGUUGCUCUUCUCAAAGAGAACGUACUCUUUGACUCCCAAAGAAAUAAUGCGUAAAUAGAAUCCUUUAUGCAUACGCAUAAAGGUGAUUUAUGUAUUUCAUAUUGUAUGAAAAACAUUGAUAUGAGUUGUACCUAGAAACGGUACAAGACGAUAUCAGUGCAAGCCCAGGAUCAGAACCAUGGCAACUGUCAAGUGAGUCCUUAAGUAUUUAAGAAAUACUAAAGGAUAGAUUCCUCAAAGAAUGAGGAAGAAUUAGAGUAACGUAAUGGAAGCGUAAAUGUAUUAGAUUAUGAAUCUAAUCCAUCAUUGGAUGUUUCUUCAUUAUGAAUGAAAGAGAUAAACAGAUAUCUCUUUAUUAUGACUAAAGAGAUAUUUGGAUGGAAACAUUAAAAGUAAUGACUUUAGUGUGUUCCAUUAUGAAUGCAAAAUAUAUUGCCAUAUAGAAGCUUACAACAAUGUUGUUUGGAUGGGAAAGUUCAUUUAUGAACUCUCUAUUCGGUUCCAACCAGAAAGUGUAUCUAGUGUACUGACACUAUGACACUAAUGGGGCGAUAGCUCAAGCCAGGGAAUCAAGGUCUCAUCAAGAUCCGAACUCAAAUGAGAGACUGAACCACAUGAUUGAGAAUCAUGUAUAAUGGUGACGUCGUUAUUCUCAAGGUUGCUUCUAUGGAUAACAUAUAGAUAUCCAUUGUCUAGGCCUACUAUUCAGCCAUUUAUGAAAUGACUACAGAAGAGGUAUCAUCACUGAUGAACAAGCUGAUUGGCUCUAGUGCAAGUGGGAGAUUGUUGGAAAUGUGCCCUAAAACCAAUCGAUGAUACUUUACGGACAUUUCACAUGUUAAACUAAUCUUUAAAGGGCAAAGAUUAUUGUUUGAGCCGUCUCAUAUAAAUGUUAUAUGCUUAAACGAUAAAGUCCAAGGAAUAUGUGAUUGGGAGAAUGCGAUCUAAAGAAGUUAGAUUCAUGAGACCAUUCUUUCGUAGACACAUCCUAAAUGUUCCUGAUCAUAGGAUUGCCAAUUGGGCAUUGACAGUCCGUUAAGAUCAGUACGUGCUGUGUCUUCUCUCAGGGAGAGUGACUAGUCUCGAGUCAUUGGUGUGUGUGACAGUCUCAAGACAAGUUGUAGGUGCUCAAUAGAGAAUGAGUUCACUGAACACGAUCAACGAAGAGUUCUCAUAUUCAUGUCACAUGAGAACUCAUGGUUGGGAUAAUGCAAAGUAGUCCUUUGACCUGAGGCAUCAUAGUUGUCUUGUGGUUAAGUCCUUGAUCUUUGAUUAUGUCAAAGUCACUCCAAAAUGAGGGUGUCCACGGCAUCGUUGGGGUUAAGCCACUUAGCCAUGGAGGCAAGUGAAUGCGCAACAAGGGAUCUCUAACCUUCAAACCUGUUUGAGGGAGAAUACUCUAUGAUAUGAUUAAGAAUCUCUGGCCAGAGUAUGAAUGAGAUUUAGGAAGUUCGUUCCAAAUCACAUUCAAGGUAAUCAUAUAAGCACACGAAUCACAUUGGAUAGUAGACAUGAAUAAACUAUCAAACCAAACAAUGUGGUCAAGAGUAUUGUAUUAGAGAAAGACCGUAUUGCAUUUGUAAUCCUAAACUGAAUAGGUUCUCUACCUCUUCUGAUUAGCUUGGGUAACCAUGAUAUGCUGCUAGGUGUCACUCAUGGUUUGUGGAAGCCCUAAACGUGUAUAAUCACUAAAGGGAGAAUUGAAAGUAAGUUUCAAUUCACAAUCGAUUUGAAAGAGUUUUAAUCGCCCACUGCCUCGCUAAAAGGAACCUAAUGGAUCGUACACCGUGUAAGGUGGAGAUUGAAGAAACAUCGGAAAUGAGUAAGAAUAAUUAAAUGGUUUAAUUAUUGAUGGCAAGGAUUUAUUAAUAUGUUAAUUAAUCAAACGAAUAAGUUCGUUAAAGACCUCGGGAUAGUUUUGGACCUUAAGGCCCAAUGGGCUUCGAACGUCAAAGCCCAUGGACUUAAGUUGUAUGACAACUUAAUGAAUAAAGAUUCACAAGGGCCCAAAAGCCCAAAUCCCUCAAAUGGCCGGCCAUGUAAGAAGAAUGGCCUUUUGGUUCUUUAGGUCACUUAUUUGAAGGGACUAUAUAAAGAACUUUAUAGCCUAAAUUCAUUAAGGGUUUCUUUUAGGAAAUUGGAGAGAACACAAAGCUCUCUUUUCUCUCUAAAGAGGCCGGCCCCCUUGGAGGGAUUAGCUAGCAAUCCCACUCUUCCAAGGUCACUCAUUUCUUCUCCAAUCUAACCUUGGUGUAGACACUUAGAGGUUCUCAAUUUUGGGAACUUGGAGAACCAUAUUCUUCCAUCCAAAUCCAUGGAUCUAAGAAGCAAGGAAUGAAGGCCCUCUCUUUGGGUGAUUAGCCUUUGCUUAUGCAAAGAGGAAUCUACAAAGGUAUAAAUUUCUCAACUCACUUUGAUUCGAGUUGAGUCUUGGUUCACCAAUCUACUAGGCUUUGAAUUUCAUGGGUAAUGUUUUGUUUUUAAGUGCAUGCAAGCAUGAUUCCGCCUUUAAUUGUUAAUUGCAUGCUUACAGAUGUUAUUCAAAUGAACAUGUUUUCACAAAAUCAUCCUUCAGUAGCAAGGACUACAGGUGAGUGGAUCUUUCUCUUUCUAUCAUAUAUAUAUAUAUAUAUAUACAUAUGAUUGAUAAUUUCAUAAACUUUAUUAAGUUGAUUUAUGCAUAUUACCCACUUGUAAUUAUUAUGAAUACCUUGAAGCACUGUGUGAACUACGAAUGGCUUAAUCCCUAUUUAGGGUAUGUAGGCAGUAACAAGACAUUAGAUGUAGCCAUAUAAGAAAUGAGAUUAAAUAAUCAAGACAUUAGCCUUGUUUAAGGAAUUGAGCAAUAUGAGGGAUAUUGGUGAAAAAAAAUGUGCGUUUAACUUCAUAUUUUGGUGAUUAAUAGUUAGUACACUGUAUUAUAUAAUUGGAAAUAUUAUGAAAUGUUUUAAUUUUAGAUUUCAUCAUGGCAUAUCCAUACGUAUAUUCUUUGCACAUAAUUAUUGUGAACACUCUAAAGUGAAAAGUUGAGCGCAGGACACACAAGUAAGUUCAUGUAAGUUCAUGUAAGUUUAGGUAAGUUCAAGUAAACAUACAGUAUUAGUUGAAUUGAUAGGGUUAUGAUAUGAUUACAUUUAUGUUUAAGCAACUCUGACAGUGUCGUACAGGUUGCAAUAGUAGGCAACUUUGGCAUUUUCGUACAAGUUGCUUAUGAGUCAUACAUGUUGUAUUAGAUGCAUUUAAAGCUCAUAAACCUGCACCCCGGUGUUAGUGCUCCCAUCCGUGGCCAGGGCACAGUCCUUCACGUAAUGUUCACCUCCCGCACCAUACGUUCACCUUGAAUUCAAGAUAGGUGCACAGGUUUGUCGUAUAGACCACUAUAGGUGGUUCCGACUCGUAGGUGACUCUUCACGUGAUCGUAGCACUUGAGCUUAUUCAUUUACACCCAGUCCUGUCAUAUAGACCACUACUAUGGUUCUGACUCGUGUGCAAGCGUAGUGUUGUAUAGGUCACUAGAGGUGACUCCGGCUUAUGUACUAGCAAUGAUUAUUGAGAUAUGAGUACAGUCGUAUAGGUCACUAGAGGUGACUCCAAAUUAUAUGCUAGCCAUGAUUGAUGAGAUAUGUGAUGAAAUAUGGAUAAGUUGUACAGGUCACUAUAGGUGACUUCGACUUACGAGCUAGCAUAUGUGAUGAAUAUGUGACGAGCUAGCAUAUGUGAUGAAUAUGUGACGAGCUAGCAUACGUGAUGUAUAUGUGACGAGCUAGCAUAUGUGAUGAAUAUGUGAUGAGCUAGCAUAUACGAUGAAUAUGUGAUGAGCUAACUUAUGUGAGGAAAUAUAUGAUGAACUAGUACAUGUGAUGAGAUAUGGGUAAGUCGUACAGGUCACCUUAGGUGACUCCGACUUAUGUACUAGCAUGAUUUAUUAAUCGCAUGACUAUUUAAUAUUGUUGAUGAGAUGCUGUGUUGUGGUAUAUUAUGAUUUUUCUGGAAAUUAUACAGGUGUUGUAGAGAAGGAUUAUAAUGUUUUAUAUGCUUUCUAUUAAUAUUUUACCUUCAGGGCCACUCACCCUUGUCUUGUCUUCACCUCCAGGUUUUAUUAGCUGAGUUUUCUUAUCGUCUAAGAUUCGUGGCAAUUCUUAGUAAUGGAGAUUAUUUCGAGGGUACGAUUCUUAAUUCACUCUUCUGUACUUGCUUAUGCUCUAACGUCACGUGUGAAGUGGGUUUAUUCCCGCUCACCAGUGCACUCUAGUAUUUAGGCAUUCUUAGGUUUAAAUUUAUUCACAAUUUUCCACAUCAUCACCCCCCUUUAUGGCUUCAUCACCUUCCAAGUGUCGGCCAGCACAGCUCGAAUCGGAGUCCUAGUGGACAUUCCGGGUCAAGGUGUGUCCCCUUUGGUAGUUUUUUUUUUUUUAAUUUUUAUCAAAAGGAAAUUUGUGAUAUAGAGAUUACAAGGACUUUCAUAAUAUUCUUCUCCCCACUGUAUUUCAUAUAAGAGGUAAUUACAAGGCACAGAUAAUAAUAUAAUUAGAUCUUAGUCUCCUAGAAUCAAAACAUACAAAAUAGAUAUGCAAAAUGACCCCUUGCUACUUCGUACUACGAUCUAGUGAUAUUUUUUUUUACUUCUAAGUGAGAGGUCUUAUGUUUGAUUCUCUCCAAAAGCGAAUUAUGAGGCUAAGCCCACCCCGUCUUCUUUAGUGUAGAUAAUAUCAUUUGUUCAGAAGAAAAAAAUGACCCCUUAAACAAGUUAAUCAUUCAUCGAGGGUUAUCCAAUUAUUGUUGUAUAUUAUUUGAUUAUUCAUCAAAUGGUCCAUCUCUAUAUUAUGAAAUCGUAAAGAGCACAACAUAUAUCCUCGGUUGAAAUGUAUUUUACUGUAUACAAGUGACUGAUGGCUCUAAUGAUAAAUAUGUACCAAGUUAAGGUGUUUAGAGCAUUUUUAAUCAUACACUCACAUUUAGCUAAAAUCUUUUACUCUGACCAUGCUUUUUAGUUCAAUGUUUAUACUUUUGAGGAACCAGGAUCCUCUCCUGAGCAGUCCUCUUGUCCGUUCAUUUUAUAUCGUGGGGUCAGUUUUCGUUAGAUACUAUUCAUAUUUGAAUUUUAAAAUUUAAAUUUUAAAUUAUUUCUGACCGCACGAUAUACGAUGAACGGACAUGAUUGCAGGAUCCCUAGGAUCCCUAGGGAACUGCUCAGGAAAGGAUCCUGGUUCACUUUCGAGAUAAAUGUAAAAUCCUCAAAACAUAAACUAAAGACUAAAAAAUUAAUAAAAGCAAAAACGUAAAUGUUUAAAAUUAUUAAUAUAUUAUUGAACUGUAAAUGAGAAGUUUUGACUUUAAUUCCCGUUGAUUGUGAAUAUGAACUAAAGUAUUGUGCCUGGUCAUUAUGAGAGAGAUCCUUGAGGUUUUCUAUUUUAGCACAUGGGGUAUCGUUUGGUAUGCAGACGGGAUGAGAUGGGACAGGACGGGACGGAAUGGAGAGAGAGUAAAGAUGCCCUUAUAUGGAAAUAAGGAGGACGAAGAAGGAGACGAAGAGGUUAUAAUUUUGUGUUCCGCGGAUGUGGAACGAGUUGUUUCAGGGGAUGAGGUGGAACAAAAAUUCACCCAAAAUUCGUCUCGUGGAACAUCGUGUUCCACCCGUUUUAGGUGCACCAAACCUGGGACGAAACGCCUCGUCUCACUCCGUUCCGUCCCGUCCCACGUACCAAACGGUACCUGAGGUAACAUGAGUGGUUAGAGGUGAUUUACCUGACUCAUUCCUAGUUAUGUAUUUUAUCCAAUAAAAUUUGAAAUCACCAUUUUCCCGCCUAAUAAUAAAAAGUAAAGCUCUUUGUAACCAGAUGUACCCAAUGGUUGGGAUUUUAGUUUUCACCUUUUAUUUUUUUCUGUUUUUAAUUUAUUUUUUGAAAGACGAAAUGUCACAUCCCGGCCCGGGCCCCCACCACAUCCGAGCUCGACUCCACCGUAUCACGAUAUUGUCCGCUUUGGGCCCCGACCACGCCCUCACGGUUUUGUUUUUGGGAACUCACACAAGACUUCCCAGUGGGUCCUCCAUCCAACUCGCUUAACUUCGGAGUUCCAAUGGAACCUGAAGCUAGUGAGCUCCCCAAAGACCUCGUGCUAGGUAGAGAUGGGAAUAUACAUAUAAGGCUUACAGGAUCCUCAUCCCUGGGUGAUGUGGGAUCUUACACGAAAACUAAAACUAGUUACUAGAAAAAAUUUAGUUUCAAAAUAUGAAAACAAAUUUAGCAUAUCCUUUUUAUGUAUGAGUCCAACAAUACUCUCGAUAUAAGCAAUUCAUCAUUUCGUUAAUUAUUUUUAAGCUCUAAUUGUGGAUGCAAAUUUCCAUCUUCUUCUUCUCAGAUGAAAAUGUAUCUGCAAAAUAAUUAAUACCUUAGGUCAAGGUCAAGAGCCUCACGCACCCACGAUGAAUUGGGGGGGGGGGCGCUUUGGUCGAAGAACCUUUGAUGCCAAAGUUAGAAUUUUAGAGAAAAGUGUUUAGAGAAAUUUGGAGAAUUGUAGAAGAAAAUUGGACUUAGUUGUUUUGGAGAAAUGAAGGCUAUUUAUAAGGGUGUGGUCGGGGUUAUUUAGAGAAAUAGGGACCGGGCAUUUAUGGUGGUGAUUUGAGUGUAAUUGUAAUCAAUUAGGCAAUUAAUCAAUUAAUUAGCUAAUCAAUCCUAAUUUGAAAGGAUUACCUUGUGGGGAGGAUUUGAUGAGGAUUGAUGAAAUAUGUUUUUAAUAAAUACCAUUUUGAUCACCUUUGACCUCGAUUGAGCCGUUAUUGUCUGAUGCUCGCGUGUGGGAGUCCUGAUGUGCCUCGACGGUAAUUUUGUCAUUUUUACCCAAAAAUCCACAUGUUGCUUCCAUAUUUUUCUUGAUUAUUUUUGGCUCCACAAAUGCCCCCACACUUGUUGAGCUGC
rnacentral:lncRNA from 1 species